GAAUUGCAGAAUCCCGUGAACCAUCGAGUCUUUGAACGCAAGUUGCGCCCGAAGCCAUCCGGCCGAGGGCACGUCUGCCUGGGCGUCACGCACGCCGUCGCCCCCUCGCCCCGCGCCGUCCCCCAAGGGGACGGGUGCGCGGGCGGCAGGGCGGAGCCUGGC
rnacentral:rRNA from 1 species